CAAUAGGAACAUCAAGAUCAUCAAUAGCAGAAUUCAAAUCAGAAAUAGAAUUAGGAUCAUUAGGAAGUAAAGGAGACUCGCCACAUUCUUCAGGAAUUGAUUGCAGAGAUGCUGGUUGAUCAGGUGUAUCAAGUUCAAUGGCUGUAUCCGUCUUAUUCUGAAGAAUAUAGGUUCUCAAAUCCAAUCUACUCAAUCUCCCUGAGGUUUGAGGAAGGGGUUGGUCCUGAUUAGAUGGCUCAUUACUAAGGUGUGACCCAAGCCUAAUAACCUGGUUAGGAAAAAAUACCUCUUCCUUUUUCUCCUUAUACUCCCCCUGAAGAGAUGAUUUAACAAGAAAAUAAGGCUCAAAUUCUCUAAAGGUAAUAUCCAUACUAACAAAAUAUUUUCAGGUAGGAGGAUGAUAGCAUUUGUAGCUCUUUUGAGUACCAGAAUAACUUACAAAUACAUAUUUAAGAGUUCUAGGUUCUAAUUUCGUAACAUUUGUUUUGUGGACAAUGACACAUCCAAAAAUUUUUAGAGGGACGGUAUAAGAAUUAUGGCCUUGUAAA
rnacentral:misc_RNA from 1 species